CCUAGGGUAUAUAAACCAUGUAUUGUAACAUAUUGAGAUAAAAAACCAAUACAAAGCUUUUCUCCCCAAAUUCUUCAUCUCUUUAUGGUUUGCACGCCACCCUAGGUAGAGAUCAAGGAAAACCCUGGUGUCACCUUCUUUGGAGCAGGUUGCUGGUGUUCUUGAGUAUCCACAUCUUGAAAAUCUGCACAAUAUUUAGUAUCAGAGUUAGGUAGAGCGUGGAGAAGGAAGGAGAUGUCAGGAUUGAAAUUCUCUGUCAAAGGUAUCUUUCUCAAUCAAACCUGUGUUGUUUGUGAUUGUGAUUUGAGACAUCAUGAAUAGUGGAUUGAAGAUCAAUUUUGAGAAAUUUGAUGGAAAGGAGAACUUCUCAAUGUAGAAGACAAGGGUGGAGGAUCUAUUGGUUCCGCAAGAGCUGGAUCUGACUUUGGAGAAAAAGCUAGAGGAGAUGACAAAUCAGGCUUGGAGUUCUCUAGAGUAGAGGGCAUGUUCGCUGAUCAGAUGGUAUUUGGUGGACUCGAUGUUGUACGGC
rnacentral:lncRNA from 1 species